rnacentral:lncRNA from 1 species
UUCGCUUAUGCGAAAAUGUGUAAAGAUAAAUGUUUUUUCGAGGUUUUCGAACUCGGGAGAUCGAGAGUGACUAGCCGAUCGUUCGAUAAAAAUUGACCGGUGCAGCACACGGCGUGACAGUCACGAAUGUUUUUUCAACACAUUCAUAUACAUAUCUAUUUAUGCCACAGAAUGUUUUUCCGCGUGAAUCAUGCAUUACACAUGAGGUUACAUAGCCUUUUGCAUUCGGAGCUGAAAAUAUCGACUGUAAGCUCGCCUUUUUUAUCAUCGAUGCAGCCGAGUCGGGAUUAUUGAAACUUGACGUAAUAUUUACAUAAAAGUGUAACGAAAUAACUAAGUAUAAAAUCUAUGCAGUGACAGAUGAUUUUGCAGUAAUCGGGGUUCCGUCUACUUGCUGAAACACUGCUCUAAAAUUAUGCGAACAAUUCUCGUACAACACAGAAAGUUUGGUGGGCGCUGUACGACUUACAUCCAUCCGUGAUCAAGAUUACAUAGCGAGCUUUAAUUAAGAUGUAAUCGCACACAGUGCGGUCACUUACUUUGAAAGAUUGAGUCACUGCGUAAGCUCGGCAAAACCGCACUCAAAAAUCACAAGUUCUCCGUACCCGGCAAGCAGCAGAUGCGGUGUGCCGGGGCACCGCAAACGAGGACGACUUGUGCACUAGAAUUUUGAUAACCCUUGGAGACUUGCGUCGAUUCGGCAUGAUUGGUUGGCGAGUUGUUGAAAAUCGAGACAAACGACAAAAAUUCCUCGGAUAUUCAGAAUCGCACCGAUUCUGCUGCAGGACUGCGCAACCGCAAACGACUCGGAUGGUGUUCAAGAUAAAACUGAGUUGAAUCUCCUGGCCCUGGAGCGGGAUCGGGGGCGAGACAAACGCUGCGCAAAGCACGUGGUGAUGUCGUAUACGCGCCCCCGCGGCGACGCUUUUUACACGGAGAAUUCAACGACUUGUCGACUGCAAGUUUGAUAUACCUACGCCUAUAACACAUGCGGUACAGUCCAUACAUGUACGAAUUCGUACGUAACUCGGGGUUCUCGGGAUCGGCUUCGACGCAGAAGUGCAAUGGAUAGUUUUUUUUGUACCUGAUGCGUCGCAAACGUGCAUGGGAAGUUGCGCAUAAAGCAGGUGUCUAAGCCCUGGAGAAUCACGUUUUCUCAGUAUUUUCACAUAUUACAAAAAGUUGAAUCGAGAAGCUUAUUUUAUGCAUCAUAUCAUUCGAGAGCCGGUGCCGCGAUACAAUGGAUACCAGCACUACGAUUUUGUCUAAUAUUACACUUUGGCAAAAUUAAGCAUCACGUAUUAACGUUAUAUAUAUACUUAAUAUAUUGUGUACGUUACUCGGUAAAUGUCGCAGAGCUGCGGUGAACAAAGUUCUGAGAUCCGAUAGCGUUAUAUUGUACCUAUAAUACCUAGAAUAAGUUCAACUUAUACAUGAGAUUUUGUGUAACAAGCCCAUUGCCAGGAUAUCCUGGUCCAGUUUAAUAAGAUUUAAUGAUAAAGUAAAAAAUAGUAUAUCGUGGAUACGGUUGAUUGCAUGUAGUUUAUUCGUAAACGACAAUAUACUGGCAGAUAAAUGCCAGCGGAUGUGAGAUAUCCACGGACUGAAGAUAAGACGAAAAUUUUCGGGGUCGUAUUCGUAAUAUUGUACAUGAAUAUAUGCAUGGAAGGUCCAACCUACUCGUUAAUAUAAUCUCAGUCGGAAUUCUAUGAACCGUUUGGCACUUUAUCUCGAUCACUCAUACCUACUGCAUCGGGCAUAUAAUGAGCAACAGUCGAGAUUAUACGGGGUAAAUGAUACAAACGAAUGCUACGAAUGACAAAUUACCGCAAGAAUACAUCUGCAGAUAUAUCUGCUCCUGCAACGUAUACCCCGAUCCCUACCUACCUACACUUUUGAGUUUCACACAGGUAGCGUUUAUCCCAUUCUCUAACUUUACAAUUUCAAUGUACAUCUGCGGCUUACGUAGGCUUACUUUUCUAACAACCGCUGGCUAAUUGUAAGAACUACAAGGACAUUUCCGGUGACCAACCGGAAGUAUUAUAAGGAAUUAAUUUGGAAAAUUGAUUUGAUGAGAAAAGAAUAUAAGUGCUUAUUAAA